GAUUCAGAUCAUUCACCCACUUCUGGUCGCCUCUGGCCUGGGAGUCCGGUUGUUUGUGCCCUGAGAUGGUUUUCAGACCUCUCCAGACUCUGCUGACAUCGCUCUGCUGCAGCUGUUCCUCCAUCUUCUUUUUAUAUCCUUCCUUUCCCUGCCUGAUGUUUCUCCGUAGCUCCUUCUACACGGCCUUCAGCUCCUCCUUGGUUCCAGAAUUAAAAACUCUCAGCUUCUCCUUCAGGAGAGCUUUUAUAUCUGUAGUAAUCCAGGGUUUAGUGUUGGAGAAGCAGCGUACAGUCCUGGUGGGUACGGUGCUUUCCACACAGAAGUUUAUGCAGUCCGUAAUACAUGAUGUCAGACUGUCAAUGUCCUCCCCAUGGGAAUCGCUGAGUACCUCCCACACGGUGGUCUCGAAGCAGUCCUUCAGGGCCUCCUUGGCCUCAUCAGACCACCUCUUCACAGUGCGGGUGGUUGCUGGUUCUCUCUGCACCAGAGGUUUGUAGAUAGGCAGAAGAUGAACCAGGUUGUGAUCAGCUUUUCCCAGGGAGGAAGGGGGGAGUGUUAUGCCUCCUUGGUGUUGGCAUAAAAUAAAUCCAGUGUUUUAUUGUCUCUGGUGUGGCAGGAAACAUACUGGGUGAAGGUGGGCAGUGUGGUGGAAGGACAGGCGUGAGGUCAGAAGGAGGGCCUGAGGGUGCUGUGUUUGCAACCUACUCAUAACAGAGUGGAGAAUGUCACAAGCAGACUCAGCCUUUGCAGACGGGGGGACAUACACUGCUACCAUAAUGACAAGAAAAAACUCCCUGGGUAGAUAAUAUGGUCUCAUGCCAACAGCCAGCAGCUCAAUGUCCCUGUAGCAAUGCUGUUCCUUGAUUGUGAUGUGCUCAGAGUUACACCAUCUAUCAUUCACAAACACAGCCAGCCCUCCUCCCUUCCUCUUACCGCUGUCCGCUGUCCUGUCGUGCCUGAUGAGCUGGAAUCUGUGUAGCGUGGCCAUCGUGUCCAGAACUUCUGCGUUCAGCCAUGUCUCUGUAAACACCAGCACGUUGCUCUGCCGGUACUCCGAUAUCUAUGCUGCACUCCGGUGCGACAUCCCCGAAUCCUUCUCGGCAGCUCGCGGGGAAUAUCGUGCCUCUCCUCAUGCCGCAUUGCGAUGUGAUGUAGCACUAACAGCUGGUCCCGGGUGUAAACAGUGGAGCCACGGCUGUACGCCAGAUCCCUGCACACGAUCAUGUCCAUGGAGAAAUAGGAGAAAGACCGCUAUGAAGAAAGCAGUCUUCGUCUCCAUAUCAAAGCAAAACAUAAGUGCUAACUAGCUAACUGAAAAAAUAAAGUUAAAUGAAAAGAAAUUGAAAAAAGCUCAGCGGUGAGCAGGAGCUGCUGUAACAGGCCUCCGCACUGGGGGCGCCAUCUUGGUAUUGACUGUUCUUUAUCCACAUGAGGUGCAUGAAAGCAGCGGAGACCAGAAUGUUCCUGACUUCUUAUUCUUUCGAAAAGGCACAAACUGGGACUUUUGUUAUGAUCUCUCCAAACUGGAUUACACAAAAGAAUGAUGAGCUUCUGACCCUACUCUAUUUAAUUAACCUAUUUAACCCUUAUGACUGAUUGCUUUUAUUCCACUCUCAUCCCCCAAGUAAACCAGAAGCUACAAAUAAUCACUCAAUGCCAACACAAAAUUUAUUCAAAGGGAAAUGUUUUAUUAUACGCUUGCUUUUACUAUUAGGAAAUGUUCAACCUAACCCUGGCCCUGAUUUUGAUUUUAAUUUUAAUUUUAACUGCUUGAGUACCCCUUUUGAUUUUAAAGUUAGAUCUGGGCUUGGUAUUAUUCACCUUAAUGUCAGAGGCCUUAACUGGAACAAGUGAAAAUCUGGGCAAAAUCCACUGACACUGACAUUCUUGUCUUGUUGGAGACUUGCUAAACAAAUCUAUUACAGACAAAGACAUUGCAAUUAAGGGUUAUAAUGUUUUCCGUUGUGACCGUCCCAGAAAAGGUUGUGGCGUUGCCAUAUAUAUAAAAAACAUUUCAUGCUACCAUUCUAUUAUCAGUAACGCUCAGCAGGCAAUUUGAAUUUCUUGCCUUGAAACUGGAACUUCUUAAAGGUCAUUUUAUCACUGUUGUAGUUUGUUAUAGACCCCCGUCAGCAAGCGUGUGAGCAACUAUCAUCCUUUGAUGUUAAUGAGAUUCUCCUCACUUUUAAUUGGGACUGGCUGUCUCCUGUUUCUGACAGCUUUAAAUCUACCUGUGACUUAUUUAACCUUACACAACUUAUUAAUGGUUCAGCUCACCCAAAUCCCAAAGGCCCAGAGAAAUCAUCUCUUCUAGAUUUAUUUUUAACAACUGCUCCUCAUAAAUAUUCAGAUAUAGGUGUUUUUGCAAAUGAUAUUAGUGACCACUGUGUCAGAUUUUAAGCACUUCUGUGAGCAAACUUUUCUUCAUGAUCUGUGUCAGAUUUUAAGCACUUCUGUGAACAAGCUUUUCUUCAUGAUCUGUGGGCCCUUGCAGGGCUCAAAAUUGUGACCGUUUUGUCACCUCGUGAGCUGACAUUGACCAGUCAAACGUGAGUUUGACUUUAAUGCUGAUUUUAGAUUGGUUAUUAGCCUCAAAUCACUCCACGACUGCAGCACUUCUGUCACUGAGAACUAACUAGGAGCCGAAGCUAAUUCAUGCCGGAGAGAAGAGAAAAUGAAGAGAACGCUGAAAGUCUUUUUUAGAAAAAAACACCACUGAACCACCACUGAACACCACUGUGAAUGAAAUAGAAACCUUAGAUAAUGAUGAUAAUACUGAUGAUGAUGACAGCCAUGACAACGAUGGCAAAGGGACAGCACCGGCAACAGCAAAGAAGGUCAAGGUGUAUGCUUUUCGGAGUGAGCAGCUAAAAGAAUUCAAAUGGCUGAAGUACAAGAAUGGAGCUAUGCAUUGUGUACACUGCAAGACCUGUGGGCCGAAGAUCGCCGGUAAAAGUCUGUUUACUACUGGGUCUACACAUUUUAAGCAUGAGAGCUUAACUAAACACGGAGAAAGCGCGAAACACAAGAAAUCUCGUGACAAAUAUCUAACUAGUAAGAAUGCAGGCUCGAUUACUCAGGCAUUUAUUCGACAACAUGCUGCUGGACAUGCAGCUGAAGAGGCAGAGAUGAAAGUGAAAUUUAACACCACCUACACCAUCGUGAAAGAGGACCUCGCCUUAACCAAAUUUAAACCUAUGCUGCUUCUCAUGAAAAAAAUGGAAUUGAUAUCAACAUGACUUAUGUGAACAAAAGUCGUGCACCAACAUCAUUGGUGUAAUUGCAGAUAUGAUUCGAGAGGAAACCGCUGCUAAACUGUCCUCAGCUCAGUACAUCUUGUUCAUCAUCGACGGAGAUACCGACGUGUCCGUGAAAGAGUGCGAGAUAGUUUACACACAGAUCCUUGUAAAUGGACUUCCCACAACCAUCCUGGUGGGACAUGUGGAGGUGGAACAUGCCACUGCUGAUGGUGAGGAUAAUGAAUGGCAUGUGUAAUGGAUUAUAAAACUGCCCUGAAAUUAACUUGAAUUUAACAAAUGUAAUUCUUAAAUGAAAACAUUAAUAACAUAUAUUUUUAACCCUGUUUAAAUUAUAUGUACCCUUUGGGGAUUUAUUUUAGGAAUCUAUGAAGCAACAAAGUCAGCAUUUGCUGGCCUUGGGGAGUCAUGCCAGGACUGGCUUCAGAAGACAGUGGCCAUGGGAGCUGACGGAGCAGCAGUGAAUCUUGGGAGCAAGGGAGGAGUAGCAGUGAAACUCCAAGAGGAGGCGGGAAAGCACAUCAUCCCGUUUCACUGCAUGCCUCAUAGCUGAUAAUGGUCUACUUCAUUAAAUGAGAAUAACAAAACAGCUGUGACUCUCUUUAUAGCAAACUAAAAUGUUUGAUUUGUACACUGUUGCAGAUUGGAGCUUGCUCUACUAUCUGCUCAGAAGGAUUUGCCUUCCAUAGGGAAGGUGUAUGAUCUGCUCCACUUGGUUUGGGAGACCUACCACUUCAGCCCCAAGUCCAGAAGUGAGCUGAAGAGCCUUGGGGUCGAGCUGGGUGUGUCGGUCAAUAAUCCAAGUCAAGGGGAUGAGAUGGCUGCCAUGUGUCCAGGUCACUGGAUGUGCUCCUGAAGCCAGGGAAGGAGGGGACACUGGAUGAUGCUGGACAGUACACAGUGGUACAUGCUCAUAUGGAGCACCUGGCUGCAUCAUCAGUAAAUGCUGAUAUCGCUGGCAGAGCAAAGAAGGUCAAAGAGACCAUUGAAGAUGGUUCUUUUUUGGCAUUCUGCCAUUUCUUAGCAGAUGUAUUUACUGCAAUAAGUAAAUACAGUCUGUUGCUCCAGAGGAAUGAUGUAAUCCUCCCUCAGGGAGCUGUUUGAGGAAAGGAGAGGCAGGGAAUAUGGCUGAAGAUGGACCACUCAGUCAGACUGCUCCAGGACUGCAGCAGCAGAUCGACACUACUGCUGCUGCAACAGUGAGACACCUCCGUGCCCUGUUCAGCAUCCUUCUUAGCUGAGGAGGAGUUCCAGGCUUUGAAAACCCUGGUGUUCAGGUCCUUCAAAGACGAGCUACAAGGCGUUAUGGGAAAUCCUUCUGACAAAAGAACCUUAUUGCUCAGACUUAGAGCUUCAGAACAUCCUUCAUCUAGUGAAGAUCAUGUUGGUCCUUCCUGUGUCCUCUGCGCAGUGUGAAAGGGGGUUCUCCACACAGAAGCGCAUCAAGUCAGACACCAGAUCUACAUUACACCCCAACACAGUGGAAGAUCUGAUUCGAAUCAGUGUAGAGGGUCCUCCUCUAGAGAGCUUCGAUGCCUCGGUGUCAGUUACCAAAUGGAUGGAAGAGGGACAGAGAGCCAGGAGACCUAAUUUUAAAUCCUGGCCCCAGGAUAUUGUGUGAAGCCUCAGAUGUCACACACACAAACACACACACUCUCACUCUCUCUCUCUCUCUCUCUCUCUCUCUCUCUCACACACACACACAUUUCACAAUCAUCUCAUUAAUUUUCAACUAAAAGUUUAGCGAUAAGUGUACUUAGUACUGUGUAAUGUAUAAUAUACUGUAUAAUGUUGACUGACACAAUGAAAUAUGUUUUCAAUGGCAUUAUCAUGGCUGUCAUCAUCAUCAUCAGUAUUAUCAUCGUCUAAGGUUUCUCUUUCAUUCACAGUGGUGUUCAGUGGUGUUUUUUCUAAAAAUGUCUUCAACUGAAAAAGUUAAUAAGUGUACUAUACACAUACAAUGUAAUGUAUACACUGUUGCCAACUCCUCAGUAAGAAAAGUAGCUAAUGGCUGUCCUAAAAGUCACUAGAACUCACUAAAUGACGUCAUUGCCUAAUUUGCAUAAUUGUCCAUAUGCAUGUAAUUGUAAUGGCUGCUGUAGGAGAGAGGGAUAAUGUCGUGGGAGAGACAAAAACUGAGUAAAAAAAACACCCUGAAUAUGUUUAGAACUACAAAUGAACCUUCUUUCAGUGAUUUAUAUUAGACAAAGAAAAUUUUACAUUUACAUCCCGCCCUGACUGUAAACCAGGUCGGGAUCAGCCAGCGGCAGUUUCACGCAUGUGCGAUUCACUUGCAGUCUGGACGUGGAGGGGUUAACAUCUCCUGCUCUGACUGCUGCUGGGAAGGAGGGCUGUCUGUGAGUGCUUUGGGGCAAGAGAGGAGCCCACGGCAGCAUCCGCUGCUCGUUGAGAAGAAUAAGAAUGAUACGUGCUCUCACAACAGAGUCUCCAGAAGUCUUCAAUAACAUCAGAAAAAAUCGCUAGAUUUGUCGCUAGUCGCUUUUUUGAAAAAGAGUUGCUAGAGGGGUCUGAAAAGUCACUAAAUAUAGCGACAAAGUCGCUAAGUUGGCAACACUGAAUGUAUACAGUAUAAUGUCGACUUUUUGUUGCAAUAUUCAAUACAGUUUUGUUUAUAAAGCCCAAUAUCACAAAUCACAAUUUGCCUCACAGGGCUUUACAGCAUACGACAUCCCUCUGUCCUUAUGACCCUUGCAGCAGAUAAGGAAAAACUCCCCAAAAAAACAAAUCAAAGAAAAAAAUCAGUUACACUGUUGGUGCUUCUUACAUUACAGUGAGUGCUCCCAAAAUUUUGCUAGUGCUCCUUACUUUUUGAAGUUAGGAGCACCAGUCCUACCAUGUAAAAAAUUUAAUUUCAAGCCCUGCUUUGAGUGGAACAAAAUCUCUCUCAUUAAUGAUGUAGAUUUGGCUUGGAAAUAUUUUCAUGAUGCUUUGCGAAUACCGAAUAUCGUUGUUUAGUUUUUCAUUAGUUUUUGCAGGUGAACCCCCUCCAGAUUAGUGUUGUCACGGUACCAAAAUUAGGACCCACUGUACGAUACCAAUGAAAAUAUUAUGGUUCUGAGUAGUAUCACGAUACCACAACGAAAAUGAGACAAAUGUGCCUUUUGUCAUUUAUAAAAAGAUAAAUCACUUUUCUAUAAUACAUCAAUGAUAUUUCAAUGGAAUAAAUUGCUUAUUGACUUAUUCAUACUUCAAAAACAGCAUCAAUAAAUGAUUAACAUAGGGGGGGAUCAAAAUAAAAUAAAUAAAUAAAAUAAAAAUCAACCAGCCACCCUCCUCCCCUGACAAGUCUCUUCAUAAGUAACGAACAGUCCCUAAAGUGCGGUGAGGUUUGUGGGCCGUGAACGGCUUAUUUCUCCUCUGACACAUCACGUACGGUCUGUGUUCAGCUGGCUUGGCUGUUCAGGUACUUCUGGGCAGUCCACAUGCCAAGAUGAGGAUAUUAUUGGAGCCGACUUCUCCGUCGCCCGGUAAGCCGAUGGCCGCCGUAAUUGACAGGAAUGCAUUACUGUCUGUGUCUGUGACCCCCGUUCAACCCACAACAGAUGGGAUUCGCGUUUCGUUUCUGCUGCUGGUUGAAAUCUGUAGGCUGCAGCAUGCAGAAUGAUUUAAGCCUAUUUUGCUCGCUCAAAACUAUUUUUAGUCGCAAAUGCGAGUCUGGUGACGGGCGGAUCGCCACACUGCCGACAUUUUACUCCGCCCGUCACGGCACGCUGUUUGAUUGCAUUGUCAAAACACGCAGCUAUUAUUCAGCCUUGCUUUUAACUUAUUCCACUGAAUACCGAAUGUGUGUUUUUUUUGCAAUAUUCGGCCGAAUAUAUUCGGUUACCGAAUAUUCGGUGCAUCCCUACUUACCACCCAGUUGUCCAGUUUACUAAAGGAAAGGGAUGUUGCCUGGGCUAAGGCUGACUGGUUGAUUUUUAAACAGCUCCGAAAUCAUUUUACCUCUCUCACCAAAAAGGCAAAAUCUGAUUUUUACCUUUCUAAAACUGCUAGCAACAUCAAUGACCCUAAGAAAUUUUGGAAAGUAAUCAAAUCCUGAAUCCUGAUCCUAUCUUACUAUAUAAUGACGAAAACUCUGUCUGUGUGGGUGUGUCUGUUCCACGUUUUUAUCCUCAAUGACUCGGUCAAUCCAUGUGAAAUUUGGCACAGUGGUAGAGGGUAAUGGGAGGAUGCGAAUGAUGAAGCAAUAUUACAUCAAUUGGCCAAAGGGGGCGCUAUAGCAGCCGAUUGAAAUUGCAAACUUUGAAUGAACCUCAAGAACCCAUAACUUCUGGUUAUAUAGAUUUUCCUCCAUUUAGAAUUUUUUGAAAAACACUUCAAAUCGAUCUCUUCCUAGGACGUUUGACUGAUCUGCAUGAAACUCGGUGAACAUAAUCUAGGGACCAAUAUCUAAAGUUCCCGCUUGGCAAAAGUUGGAAAACUUGUUAAAACUGAGCUUCUAUAAGGCAAUGAAUAUUGCAGUGGGCAUGGCUCAUCACAUAAAGGUGUAUAACAUCUUAAGGGUUUCACCAAUUACCACACAACUUUGUAGGCAUAUGACCACACAUAAUCUGAGGGGACCCCUCCAUUAUUGACCCGAUCAAACAAAAUGGGGGCGCUAGAGAGCUAAUUUCUUAUGUAUGCCUAACCGCCAUAUUGAUUUUUACUAAACUUGGUAGAUAUGUAGAACAGGACGCCUCAAGGUGACUGGAGAAAUUUAACUCUAAUUGGCAACUGGGUGGCGCUUUAACAACAGAAAAAUGCUUAAAAAUGGCUAAAAUGCGACCGGUUGCUGUGGCUCCCCCUGUGGCCGAAUGUUGGGGUUUUUUUCUAAUUUUUGGUAUGACUAAGUCAUGGUAUGGUAUGCUGUACUCAAUGGGUAUGGACUAGUAACAGAUAAAUCAGCCAUUCUAAAUUGCUUCUUUAUAUAAAUAAAGUUCUAUCUUAUCUAAUCUAUUUGAAUCUCAACACCCAGUUCCACAUCUACCUAAUGAAGAGAUGACUUCCGCUGUAGAGCUAUAAAUUAAUCGUGAAUAAUCUGUCUGUCUGACGUGUUAUAAUCUGUCUGUCUGACAUGUCAUUAUAACACGUCAGCCAGACAGAUUAUUGACGUGUUUCAAUCUUCAUUAUAACACGUCAAUAAUUUGUCUGUCUGACGUGUUAGAAUGAAGAUUGAAAUAUCACUGUCAUGAUGGUUUGCAGUCAUGGCUACAUGUGAUGAAUUGGCAUCAAAGUGAAGUGGCAUGGGCACUGUUAAUAGCCACAGCCAUGCUUAAUGGUUGCGCAUAAUGACAGCUGUUCUAUCGGAGAACCACGUUGGUGCAAGACUCUGGAGCUACAUUUGUUUCUUUAUUAUUCAAUCAAACAGAGUAGGUUUUGCAAUAAAAAAAAGGUUUGAGAGCAAAAGUAUCAAUAUUGCAAUAAAAAAAAAAAAUCAAAAACCUUCAGAUAACUUUAUCAGUCAGUCAGUGGGUCAGUGAGCGGACUAACAGUGGUCCUGAGCGGAGUCUCCGUAAUUACAGCAGUGAUGACACUGAGUGACAGACCUGCCAUUAUGUGACAUUCUCCUCUUGAUUUCAUAUUUCUCUAAUAUGUCUCAUUAAACUCUUUCCACAGAAAUACAGGACAAACUGCAUCCCAUACUGAAUCAGUAAGGGACAGUGCAUUUUAUUUUUCAGUAUGGGACGAGGGGCAACUCUGUCGUCUCAUGCCUUGGUGUGGUGCUGGCGUCAGUCACAUCACUUAUCCUCAGUUUUACUAUCCUUACUUUUAUCCAGACUUCCACAGGAAAAGAGUUUGCUGCAUUUCAGAGUUUUUCCCGGGAAAAAGAGUUUGUAACUUUAAUGGACGCUACUGCGCUACUCAGUCAAUCAAUUAACUUCACUAGUGAAAAGCUAUUUGACUCAGAAAGUAGUGAUGUCACCACCACACUACUGAGAAUGCUGUUAAAUUCGUAAGGUCGCACCUUGUAGUGACCUACUUCCCAACACAGAUUAUUCCUGACAGCAUGAGAAAUAGCAGUCUAGCAUGAGUGCGUAUGAAAUCGGUCAUUUGCAUGACUGGUUGACAGCUCUGACUUUCAAAAAAGGAAACAAACGUGUUGCUCAUUUCUCUCAUUUCAGAGACUUUUCUUUUUUCUCUUUCAUAUAUUGUCCUUAAAUAAAGCUAAAGCAAUCUAAUAAAAAGACGCAGUAUUUCUUAUCCAAUUACUUGAUUAAUUGCCAGAAUAAUCGAUAGAAUACUUGAUUACUAAAAGAAUCAAUAGCUGCAGCCCUAGUGGUCAGUGACAUUAUCGAGGCACUGGACUGCAAAAAAUAUUGUGCAGUUCUUUUCACUGAUGUGUCAAAGGCCUUUGACAAGCAACAACUUAUCAAAUGCUGCUUAUCAGUUUUAUUCAGAUGAUACCGUCAUCUAUUAUUCAUCCCCUUCAACAGUUAAAGCUUUGGGAUACCUGCAGUCUGCCUUUGAUGUUGUUCAGACCCUCUUAACUCAACUUAAGCCGGUGUUAAAUGCAGAAAAAUCCAAACUCAUGCUAUUUUCAAAUGGCAAAGACUUAACAUCUGAUCUUCCAAAGAUCUUAACUACUUGAGGGACUGAAAUUGAAAUUGUUACAGCGUACAAGUAUUUAGGUAUUAUCAUUGAUCAGAACAGAAAACCUUGUCACCAAGCUGAAGGUUAAAUUGGGCUUAUUUUUUUUAGAAAUAAAUCUAACUUCUUCCUUCAGGCAAGGAGACACUUGAUAUCCGCAACUUUUUUUUUUACCUCUGCUGGAUAUCCUCAGGAUCCUCUGCGGAAAUCGCAUACACCACUUGGGCUUUAUAAAUAAAAUUGAUUGAUUGAUUGAUUGCCCACUGUACUCUGCAUAUAAAUCUAUUCUUGGCCUGGUUUCCUCUAAUCUGUCUACAUACAUGUGCACAACCAAAAUCAAUAUGGGCCUUCGCUCUCAUAAUAUUCUUCAAAUUUUGGUUCUGAGGGUGAGAACAGAACCCAGCAAAAAUGCUUUUGAAUAUGCUGCUCCUUCCUCUUGGAAUAAUCUUCAGAAGGAUCUGAAACUGGCAGAGCUGAUCACUGUGGAGGUGUUUGAGUUGAUUUUUAAGGAUCGAGAAAUUUGCUCUUUUAGUCAGUGUGACUGUUCGUAAAUCAUUUAAGAAAUUGUACUCAAAUCAUAUUUAUUCUUGUCCUGACCUUGUAUCUCAUGUUAAUUGCAUACUGUGGUUUUUAAUCAUUUGUUGUGUAUGGCAGUUGUAUAUGUCUGUUUGCCUUGUUGUAACUUGUAACAAUGUUUUAUGCUGCCCUCUUGGUCAGGUCACUCUUGAAAAAGAGAUUUUUAAUCUCAGUGAGGCUUUUACGUGGUUAAGGAUAUAUGUAGGACUCCCCCACUCUUGGUUUGACCCCGCCACCUGGGAGGGAACCAGGAACCAGGAACUCUCUUGUUGUGAGGCAACAAUGCUAACCACUGCACCACCGUGCCGCCCAUUGGUUAAGAAUUCACAUGCUAAUUAAGAAAAAACUUCACACAAAUGUCUGAUAGGAUAAAAUGAUGAAGUGAUGACAUUUUAAAUCCAAAAGAUCAAAAGUCAACUUCACUGUGACAUCAUAAUGUUCUGCGUAAAACACUGUUCUGGCCAUUAUUCAACGUCAUAUCUCAGGAACAAAAGGGGAAAUGUUUGGUCAGAUACAGAAUUGGUGACACUAAUCUUGGGUGUCCACCUUGAAACCGUGCUGAUUGUGUAGAUCUUCUGUGCUGUCAGGGAGAAGAUGUGUAAAGCAUCAGUGUUUUCACAGACAUGGAUGUAAACUGUAAGAGAAACUUGACUGGUGCAUGGAGGCAUACAAUUGGGGGGGUGGGAAAUCCUUUUGUUUUUUUGUUUUUUGAUAUUUUUUUGUUAACAGAAAUACAUUACAUAAUACAAAUGUUUAGUUCUCACUGAAUUCUGGCCAAGAUACAUCUUCAGGGGACAAUUGGCAUUGUAGGAAUAAUAUGAAAUCUUUAUUAUAUAUUUUGU